UUCCGGUUGAUCCUGCCGGAGGCUACCGCUAUUGGAGUUCGAUUAARCCAUGCGAGUCGCGAGUCUUAGGGACUCGGCGUACCGCUCAGUAACACGUGGGUAACCUGCCCUAUGCUGGGGGAUAACCUCGGGAAACUGAGAAUAAUACCCCAUAGUUCACCACGCCUGGAACGGUGGGUGGAUGAAAGCUCCGGCGGCAUAGGAUGGGCCUGCGGCGUAUCAGGUUGUAGGGGGUGUAAUGUACCCUCUAGCCAUCUACGCGUACGGGUGUUGGGAGACAUCGCCCGGAGAUGGAUUCUGAGACACGAAUCCAGACCCUACGGGGUGCAGCAGGCGCGAAAACUUGGCAAUGCGAGCAAUCGUGACCAGGGAACUCCAAGUGCAUCGGGUAAGACCGAUGCUUUUCUUGACUCUUCAAAGGUCUUGGAAUAAGGGGUGGGUAAGGGACGGUGCCAGCCGCCGCGGUAAUACCGGCGCCUCAAGUGGUAGUCGCUUUUAUUGGGCCUAAAACGUCCGUAGCCGGUUUGGUACAUUCGUGGGUAAAUCAAGGCGCUCAACGUCUUGAAUUCUGCGAGCACGGCCAGACUUGGGACCGGGUGAGGUGUGGGGUACUCUCAGGGUAGGGGUAAAAUCCUGUCAUCCUGAGAGGACCACCUGUUGCGAAGGCGCCACACUAGAACGGAUCCGACGGUCAGGGACGAAGCCUAGGGGCACGAACCGGAUUAGAUACCCGGGUAGUCCUAGGUGUAAACGCUGUGGACUUGAUGUUGGGAGUGCUCCGAGCACCCUCAGUGUUGAAGCGAAGGUGAUAAGUCCACUGCCUGGGGAGUACGGUCGCAAGUCUGAAACUUAAAGGAAUUGGCGGGGGAGCACUGCAACCUGAKGGAUUGUSCGSUUUAAUUGGACUCAACUCCGG
rnacentral:rRNA from 1 species